CAUAGCGACUAUCGUGGCAUAUCAAUAAGCGGAGGAAAAGAAACUAACAAGGAUUCCCUUAGUAACGGCGAGUGGAGCGGGAAGAGCUCAAAUUUGAAAUCUUCAAGGUUUUACCUUGACGAAUUGUAGUUUAAAGAAGUGUUUUCUGUUGAAGUUUUGGUAAAAGUUCUUUGGAAUAGGACAUCAUAGAGGGUGAGAAUCCCGUAUUUGACCAUUAUUUUCAGCUGUGUGAUACACUUUCAAAGAGUCGGAUUGUUUGGGAAUGCAGUCCAAAAUGGGUGGUAAAUUUCAUCUAAAGCUAAAUAUUGGCGAGAGACCGAUAGCGAACAAGUACCGUGAGGGAAAGAUGAAAAGAACUUUGAAAAGAGAGUUAAACAGUACGUGAAAUUGUCAAAAGGGAAGCGUUUGACACCAGUGUUGUUUAGUUGAAAAUCAAUUCAAUAAUUUUUGAUUUUGAGUAGUAUUGACUUCAUCAGCUUGCUGCUUUCUCUUCGGAAAUUACUGAAUGCACUUUUCAGUUAACAAGUCAACAUCAAUUUCUUUUGUUGUAAAAGGGUAAGAGGAAGGUGGCUUACGCUUCGGCGUCAAGUGUUUAUAGCCUUUUAUCCCUGCAAUCGGAGAGAUUGAGGUCUGCAGCGUAGAUCCUUCGGGGUUAGAUACAUUGGUGCUAAGCUAUAGCCUUGUAUAGACAACUUGUUGACUAUGCUCAGUCAUGUAGCUUACUCGCUGAUGCUAUUUUACCUACGCUUAGGAUGUUGAUAUGCAUGACUGAUAU
rnacentral:rRNA from 1 species